rnacentral:tRNA from 1 species
GGCCGUCUGAAGGGAAUUGGCAUACCUGCCUGUCUUAGAAACAGGCGCUUCUCGGUUCGACUCCGAGGGCGGCCACCA